rnacentral:lncRNA from 1 species
GUGGUCACUGAUGGCAACAAUAUCUACUUUGCCAGAGAUGAAGGUAGCUCUGGGGAACAGGUACCUAAUAUGAUAACAACUAUUACUCUGACCUUCCCCCAUCCUGUCUCAGGAAUACAGCUGGCAUUGCAUGAGAAGAUCUGAAUUACGUCAAGAAAAGCAGCAGGCACAAGAACAUGGCAGAUUCAGGCAGAGAUGAAUAUGGAGCAGAGAAGCCACGUCCAGAGACUGGACUUGGUACUUCUUUCUAGUUGCUUCAAGAAAAUACCUGGCAGAAGCAGCCUAAGGAGGGAUUGUUUUUACCUCACAGUCCAUCAUGGCAGCCAGAUGCCACAGCAAGAAGAUCCCAGAGUGUCUUGUUGCAUCCACAGUAAGGGAGAGAUGAAUGAUGCUAUUCUCCUCCUUUUUAUUCAGUCUGGGACCUCGGGCCAUAGAAUGGCACCACACACAUUUAAGGCUUCCAAGCAAGUUCAUUAAAAUGUCAUCUAUCAAACAUGAAAAUCUACAUGCUGAUCUAUCACCAGUUUAUAUUAUAGUACCCACCCUUUUUUUCUAGCAAGCAUCUUUCAUAAACAAUAUCUGU